ensembl:lncRNA
ACCACCAAACCAACACCCACCACAACCACCACCACCACAACCACCAAACCAACACCCACCACAACCACCACCACCACAACCACCAAACCAACACCCACCACCACCAAACCAACGCCCACCACACCAAACCCCACCACAACCACCCCUACAGCCAGGCCAAAGCCAACCACAACUAUGGCCAAGCCAACACCCACCACACCAAAAUCCACCCCAACUGCAGCUAAGCCAAAACUUGCUGCAGCCACAGCCAAACCAACACCCACCACCCCAACAUCCACCACCACUACAGCCAAGCCAGCACCUGCCACAACAGCAAAGACACAACUGAAAACUGCCACAACCACAAAGCCAGAACCAGAAAGGCCUGAUAACCAGUCUCGCUCUUUCCUUGGAGCCCACCUAAGACCCAGAUAAUAAAGUAUCUCCAGAGGCUGACACUGGAGAGCCUGUAAGCUCCUUCACUACAGAGGAUCCAGCCUUAUUAGAAAGUAUGGGCACAGCCUUCAGCCCCAGAUCAGUCCCAGAAAUAAAGAACGGUGUCAAAGAGCAUGGGGAGGAGAAAUCAGCCUUUCCCAGUCCAUCUCCAUCCCUCAGCCAAGCUGUUCCAGAGAUGAAGCUAGGUUUCAAUAGAGCUGAGCUCAUAACCCCCUCCAAGUCAGUGGUCCUCAGCCCUGAAGAGCCCACGUUCUUGCGCUUAACAUCAUCCUCCAAAGACAAAAAAGGGCCGAGCCCCCAUUUCCAGACCUCCCUCUCAGCAGGUGCCCUGGACACAGAAGAACUGGAGACAAACUCGGACCAGACAAGUGUGGAUCCACUCAAAGGAGGAGCCCCCAGUACCUGCUUGGGCCUCUUGCUCUUCCUCCUCCCCAGUGCCAUCCUGGUGGGCCUUCUGCUCUGAAGGGUCUUCCUCAGCUCUCCCUGCACCCCUCACCAAGGCUUUUGUCAGCGCUGGUUGUUCCACAGCCCUGGCAGGCUCAGGAGCUCCUUGGACAAUUCCUGCGCUCCCUCCUUGUGCUGCCUUCUCUGCUGCAGCCCCAGAGAGCCAAGGGCAGCUGAUGCUGGGGGAGCUUUGCCCCCUUCCUGAGGAGACCUGAGGCCAGGAGGGUGUUUGCCAUAAUGCUGGUGACCUUGGAUGCUUCUCCUUUUUCCUGGCUUUCGUUCCGUUUCCAGGCUGGAAGUGUUGACCUCUCCCACCCAUCUGCCCACAUGGCUGGCAGGCCCUGCCACAGCCUGACCCCGGGGACAGCAGGGUGACUUGGGGACAAUGAGACAUGGUGGUUGGCUUUGGUGUUUGUCAGGAGGAGUUUCCCACAGAAAGGCUCUUUUCCCUCCCAGUGUGUUUCUUUCAGUUUUGGACAUAUUUGAUCUUUUUCCUAUCUUACCCAAAUAGAAUGUCUUUUUUGCAAAGAGAGUGGCUGUUUUGAGGAUUUCUGUUUCCUCCUGGUUCUGGUGGAGCUCUGGCCAGUACUGCCCAGCUGUUCUCCCCUCUCCUCCUCCAUUCUGCAGCCCUUGCCUCCUCCCAAUAUUCAUUUUACGCCUGUGCCUGCACCUGUGUGCACACACAGAAGAGAAACCUUCAGAGCUGAGAGAGGCCACCAGCUCCUUCAUGUAGCUUUUCCCUGCAUGGCUUCAUUCUUUGCAUAAUUUCAGUGUAUUUGAAUUUAGAUACAGAUUCCUCUUGACGUGUAACUUGUGUGUGUGUGGUCAAGGAGAACAAGUCCCCACUUGUGCUGGUACAAUCUGAGCUCCAGAGGUACAAGUGACAUUGUUAGAGGUUAUUGGUGGCUCCUGGGCCUCUUGCAGGACCACUGGCAUUGUCUGGGCCACUGUGUUUUGUCACCCCAAAUCUCUCCUCCCUUCACCUGAGGAUUCCCAGUCAGGUGUGUUGAAUCUGUGCCAAGCUUUGCAGACAGGUGGAAGGAAGAUAAUGGGGAGGUACAGCCCCUGCUCUGGUCAUUGCAGCUUUUCAUUUCUUACAGAUGAGGUGGAGGAUGACCUGAAGGCCAUUAUUCAGAUCCUCCACUGCUGCUCUGUCCUGUGCAUCUCCAGAGCAUGCACUGAAUAAAUCCUGUUGUGAAAGUCUGUUCACUCUCUCUCUUGGGGAUCUGGACACCUGGGAGCUGCUUACUAUUAAAAUGCUCUUAAUUAUGUGCUUACAUAGAACUGCUAAAAGACAACGUGACUUCUGUGGGUCCUGAAGGGGUUUUUGGGCUUUCCAAAAGCAUCCAUGCGCUGCCUUUUCUAAGGGUGUAACUUAAUGUUUUUAAACCUUUAUAAAAGCAGCAGGAGGCCAUGGGGAUUGAGGAUGACGUAGGGAAUUUUUCUUGAGCAUCCAGCUGAGUGUAAAAUAAAAAUGGGUCCCCACCAGGAAUUCUUG